AGAUCUGCUUCUUGGCUGAAUAUGAAGGCCUGAAACGGGGCCUGUCCCAGAAGCUAUGUUGCUUCUACAGUCCACAGGCUCUCCUUCGCAGACUGGGCUCUGAGGGACCCGGGAUACAAAAUGGCUCUCUCACUUGCUCAGGUGGUUAGAACCCUCCCUGGAUGCUGCCUCUCCUCUUGUAGGGAAGGAGCGCAGAUGUCUGAAGCUCAGAUCUGUUUCCUGGCUGAAGAUGGAGAAUUGAGUGUAUUUCUGAUAGGUUUGCUUUUGUAUGUUAUCUGGCCUUUUUUCCAUGACACUUUUAAUAUUCUUUCUUUGUUCUAUAGAUCUGUGUUUUGAUUAUUAUGUGUCAGGAGUUUGUUUUUGUUUUUUGUUUUUUGUUUUUUUUUUUUUUUUUUUUUUUAAUUUGGGGUCCAGUCUAAUUGGUGUUCUGUAAAUUUCUUUCUUUUUUCUUUUUUAAUUUAUUUUUUUAAUUAGGUAUUUUCUUAAUUUAAAUUUCAAAUGCUAUCCCAAAAGUCCCCCAGACCCUCCCCCCUCACACUCCCCUACCCACCCACUUCCACUUCUUGGUCCUGGUGUUCCCCUGUAACUGAGGCAUAUAAAGUUUGUAAGACCAAGGGGCUUCUCUUUCUAAUGAUGGCUGACUAGGCCAUCCAUCUUCUGAUACAUAUGCAGCUAGAGACAUGAGCUCCGGGGGUAUUGGUUAGUUCAUAUUGUCGUUCCACCUAUAGGGUUGCAGACCCCUUUAGCUCCUUGAAUACUUUCUCUAGCUCCUCUAUUGGGGCCCUGUGUUCCAGCCAAUAGCUGACUGUGAGCACUGUACAUUUCUUGUCCAUUUAUAGUCAUUUACUGGCCCUUUAAGUUGAAAAUCUUCAUUCUCACCUGUACCUAUUAUCCUAAGGUUAGUUCUUUUCAUUGUGUCCUGGAUUUCCUGGAUGUUUUGAGUUAGGAACUUUUUGCAUUUUUUAUUUUCUUUGAUUGUUGUGUACAUAUUGUCUAUGGAAUCUUUUGCACCUGAAAUUCUCUCUUCCAUCUCUUGUAUUCUGUUGCCGAUGCUCGCAUCUAUGGUUCCUGAUUUCUUUCCUAGGAUUUAUAUCUCUAGUGUUGUCUCCCUUUGGUUUUUCUUUAUUAUUUCUACUUCCAUUUUUAGAUCAUGGAUGGUUUUGUUCAAUUCCUUCAUCUGUUUGUUUGUGUUUUCCUGUAAUUCUUUAAGGGAUUUUUGUUUUGUUUCUUUACUGGUUCCUAGAUAUUUACCUGUGUUCUCCUGUAUUUCUGUAAAGGAGUUACUUAUGUCAUUCUUAAAGUCCUCUAUCAUCAUCAUGAAAAGUAAUUUUAGAUCUGAAUCUUGCUUUUCCAAUGUGAUGGUGUAUACAGGACUUGCAGUGGUGUGAGAAUUGGGUUCUGAUGAUGCCAAUUAACCUUGGUUUCUGUUGCUUAUGUUCUUAAGCUUGCCUCCCACCAUCUGAUUAUCUCUAGUGCUACCUGCCCUCUCUAUAUCUGAUUGGAGCCUGUCUUUUCUGUGAUCCUGGUUGUGUCAGAACUCCUCAGAGUUCAGCUGUCUCUGUGAUCCUGUGAUUCUGGGAUACUAAGAUCCCGAGAUUCUGAGUGUUUCAGGGCUUUCAGGAAUCAAGCUGCCUCUGGGACCCUGUCAUCCUGGUGUGACUAAGCUCCUGGGAACCUGGGAUCCUGGUCUUGUUAGAGCACAUGGGAGUGGAGCUUCUUCUGAGUGCAUCUAACUGAAAAGUUUGUGCCCAAUGUCUGCUCAGGGCACUGGACCAGACCAGAAGGCAAAGCUUGCCUUCUUAAUUCCUGUUCAAAUUACUACAUUUUUCAUUUCCAAAAUUCCCUCAGCUUUUUAAUUGAAUCUAAUUACAAGUCUUGAAAUUUAUUUAUUUGUUUAUUUACACUAUUUUUUCUUUUUCCCUGGGUUUCUAUUAUUUAUUCAUUUCCUUUUUUAAGAAUCUUACUUUUUAAAAAAUAAACCUUUAUGGUAUUUUUCUUGUGUUUCAACCAUGUUAGAAUGUUUAGAGCCUGCUGUGGUAACAUAGCUGGGCUCUAGUGGAGACAUAGUACCUUGGAUAUGUUGGUUAUUGUGUUUUUUACACUGGCAUCUGGGUUUGGGGUGAUUUUAGGUCUAGGUGCUGACUUCUGGAUUUGUCUUUGUUGGGUGGAUGCUUUGCUCCUUGAUACUGUGUCCUUUUUGGAUAUUCAGAGAAUGUGAUGGCUGUUUCUUGCCUGCUUUCCUGGUCUGUUCAGCUUGUUUGUUCACAGAAAAUGCCUGCUAGUGCUAGAGUCUGGAUAAUUGAAAUGAACUAGGGAAGGAAGGUUGGAGAAUUCUUUUGGGGUGUUUGUGUGUGAUGAGGAAAGAGAGACCAUAGCAGGUUUCUACAUACAUAGCUUGGGUUGAGACUGGAGAGAAGGAAUCUC
rnacentral:lncRNA from 1 species